CCUGGUCCAUGCUAUCUGCUCAAUAAACAUGUAUUAAGCAAUAGAGUUCCUUGACCACAACUCUCCCCCAUGGAAUGCAGCUAAAGAUCUACCGUCUUGGCCUGGUGGGGAUGACUGGGCCAUUAUGUGAUUAGAUUUCACUGCUUGCUCAGGAUACCCAAGUGAUGUGAGUUCCACAUCUAGAUCCAGGAAGGUCUCACUACGGAUUUAAGGAAUGAACUGGCCCGGAUCACUGAUCCUGGCAGCCAAACCUACUUAAUUGAUCUUCAUACUGAAUUAGAGUCAACGCAUCAUAGGCUACAAGACCAACCAUACUUCAUGCUUACUGGACCUGGCUAAAUGUGUUUUGUUUUGUUUUGUUUUUUGUAUAUAUUUUUUAAGAUUUUAUUAUUUAUUUACUUAUUUAUUUAUGUGUGUGAGAGAGAGAGAGUGAGCAUGAGCAGGGGGGAGGGGUAGAGGGAGAAGCAGACUCCCUGCUGAGCAGGGAGCCUGAUGCCAGCAUCAGGACUAAAUCCCAGGACCCUGAGAUCAUGACCUGAGUCGCAGGCAGAUGCUUAACUGACUGAGCCACCCACGUGCUCCUGGAUGUGGUUUGUUCUCAAUGGGCUACUGGAGCGGUUGGGGAAGAGGCACCUGCUUCCUUCUUUCAUCAUUAGGGGAAACCAUUAUGGGCCUACGGUGGCACAGAUGACUACUUUGUUCCAUUACUUCUUUCCCUAGAAAUGCCACAGCCUGCUGGUAAUGGAGGCUGCUGGCUUUCCCCAUCAACUCCUGCUCCUUCCCAGCUAUUGGUUUACCCCGGAAUGAACCAGAACUUCCGAAGCCUCCAUCUCUGGGGCACCUACAACCUUACUUAAGUACAAGAGACGGUAGAGUUAAGACUGACUUCUCAAUCAGACAGUUUAAGCAGCUCCACGUUUAGUGUCUGCCCCUGUGAUGCUCCCAUUGCUCAGAAAAGGAAUUGUCUGUGACUUUAAGGAAGAGGAGGCUCCUGUGCUUAUUUCUCACACUUCCCCAUCUUCAUUUGCAACAUUCUCUCUGCGACAUGAUUUUGAUAUCCACGCUGCAGCUUCACACACACACAGCUGUGGCCAGCUUUCUCUCCUGACCCCUGGAACCUCAGCUACCCGGUCCCAUCCUGCCAGCAGGAGGUAGGUGCCCGCUGGGGGGUGGAGGGACACGCAAGGAAGACAUUAAGUUCAAGUUGGGGUAUUUUGAGACAACUUGAGUUGCAGUAAUGGAGACUGGAGAGGCUCUGAGCAGCCUGCCCUGGCACGGAGAGGCUGGGUGGAACUGAGAGAGGAAUGUAAGGACACCGAGAGGCCUAAGCCACUGCCUUUAUCAAGUCCUUUUUGAGGAGUUCAAAAUUAGUCCAGCCCUGGUUUUCCUGUUUCUUUGUUUUAAAGAUUUUAUUUAUUAUUUGAGAGAGAGAGAGAGAGAGAGAGAGAGAAACUAUGAGCAGGGCAGGAGGGGCAAAGGGAGAGGGAGAAGCAGGCUCCUCACUGAGCAGGGAGCCCGAUGCAGGGCUUGAUCCCAGGACCCUGAGCUC
rnacentral:lncRNA from 12 species